rnacentral:antisense_RNA from 2 species
AGAAGAGCUUCCGCGACGGCAACGUCCGGGGGCUUUUUUCUUUUGC